rnacentral:rRNA from 2 species
UUGGAGGGCAAGUCUGGUGCCAGCAGCCGCGGUAAUUCCAGCUCCAAUAGCGUAUAUUAAAGUUGUUGCAGUUAAAAAGCUCGUAGUUGAAUUUCGGGGUUCUACCGUUGGUCGGGCUUUGUCUGUACUGGCGUGUAGAAUUUCUACCUUCUGGGGAACCAUCAUGUUAUUAAUUUAACGUGGUGGGAAACCAGGACCUUUACCUUGAAAAAAUUAGAGUGUUCAAAGCAGGCUUAUGUCUGAAUACAUUAGCAUGGAAUAAUAAAAUAGGACGGUGGUCCUGUUUUGUUGGUUUCUGAAUCACCGUAAUGAUUAAUAGGGAUAGUUGGGGGCAUUAGUAUUCAAUUGUCAGAGGUGAAAUUCUUGGAUUUAUUGAAGACUAACUUCUGCGAAAGCAUUUGCCAAGGAUGUUUUCAUUAAUCAAGAACGAAAGUUAGGGGAUCGAAGACGAUCAGAUACCGUCGUAGUCUUAACCAUAAACUAUGCCGACUAGGGAUCGGACGAUGUUAAUUUUUCUUGACUCGCGGCGCCUUACGGGAAAC